UUUUUAUCAUGUGUCAUAUGAUUAGAUGCCCCUGAAUCUAUGAUCCAGGUGACAGAAUUAAUGUGUGUAAGCAUGCAUAAUUUGGAAUCAGAAACAAGGCUCUCAGUCAACAUAGUACCAGCAAAAUUAGCAGCACACAUGGGAGGUGGAGCUUGAUCACUGGAAUCCCCUAACUUGGUCUGUUGCAACAAGCUCAUCAAUUGAUCAUAG
rnacentral:lncRNA from 1 species